AUUGAACGCUGGCGGAAUGCUUUACACAUGCAAGUCGAGCGGCAGCGCGGGGCAACCUGGCGGCGAGCGGCGAACGGGUGAGUAAUGCAUCGGAACGUGUCCAUGUCGUGGGGGAUAGCCCGGCGAAAGCCGGAUUAAUACCGCAUACGCCCGAGAGGGGAAAGUGGGGACCCGCAAGGGCCUCACGCGAUUGGGUCGGCCGAUGUCCGAUUAGCUAGUUGGCGGGGUAAAGGCCCACCAAGGCGAUGAUCGGUAGCUGGUCUGAGAGGAUGAUCAGCCACACUGGGACUGAGACACGGCCCAGACUCCUACGGGAGGCAGCAGUGGGGAAUUUUGGACAAUGGGGCAACCCUGAUCCAGCCAUUCCGCGUGAGUGAAGAAGGCC
rnacentral:rRNA from 1 species